rnacentral:rRNA from 1 species
UACGUAGGGUGCGAGCGUUGUCCGGAAUUACUGGGCGUAAAGAGCUCGUAGGUGGUUUGUCGCGUUGUUCGUGAAAUCUCACGGCUUAACUGUGAGCGUGCGGCGAUACGGGCAGACUAGAGUACUGCAGGGGAGACUGGAAUUCCUGGUGUAGCGGUGGAAUGCGCAGAUAUCAGGAGGAACACCGGUGGCGAAGGCGGGUCUCUGGGCAGUAACUGACGCUGAGGAGCGAAAGCGUGGGGAGCGAACAGG